GGGAUCUUAAUUUAAAUAAUAAAAUAUAUGAUUUGCAUUCAUAAAAUUGUGAUUCUA
rnacentral:tRNA from 1 species